rnacentral:rRNA from 1 species
CAGUAGCCGCGGGAAUACGUAGGUGGCAAGCGUUGUCCGGAAUUAUUGGGCGUAAAGGGCUCGCAGGUGGUUUCUUAAGUCUGAUGUGAAAGCCCCCGGCUCAACCGGGGAGGGUCAUUGGAAACUGGGAAACUUGAGUGCAGAAGAGGAGAGUGGAAUUCCACGUGUAGCGGUGAAAUGCGUAGAGAUGUGGAGGAACACCAGUGGCGAAGGCGACUCUCUGGUCUGUAACUGACGCUGAGGAGCGAAAGCGUGGGGAGCGAACAGGAUUAGAUACCCCUGUAGUCCCUGUCUCUUAUAC